GCCUCUGUGGCUUAGUGGUACAGCGUCUCACUCGUACUUUGAAUCAAUGGUGCACAUGAGAAGAUCCCCGGUUCGAUUCCGGGUGGAGGCA
rnacentral:tRNA from 1 species